GUGACUUAUUACAGAAUAUCGUUACAGUUGCUCUUUUGUAUUAUCAUUAUGGUUGUUAAUCUUGCCAUGCAUCAGAUUUUGAAAACAUCCACCCCCCUCUGCACAGGUUUGCUAAAAGCACAGAGGGAGAAUCUGCAUAUGACGCACACUUGCUCCACAAGUGUCUGUCGAGGGAUUGAGGCUAAGGGUAUGUUCCAAAAAUGGCUCUGGAAUUCAACUCCAUUUGCCAUUCUGCAUACACCAUUCCCUUCUGAUGUUGCCCUUGCCUUUGACCGUGAGCUUCCUGAGAGCAGGUGCCUGCUGCCGCUACUCUGCUGCAUCCCAGCCUCUGGAGGAGAUAGUAGAAGAUGGGAAUUCACUUUCCAUCAAGGAGAUGGAAAUGCUGAUAGUCCUGACUCGAUCGCCACAGCGUCUGCAGUAUGCAGUGGUCACCCUGCGCCCCACAAGUGUGCAGUUAUCAUAGUCGAUCACGCACAGCUACGCGGCAGGAGAGCCUGGGUUUCCUUCCAUGUACUUGACUCCGGUCUCUUGGGGUGACUGGGAGGCGGAAUAGAGCCCAAGGACAGAGCAAUCCCCAAACGCCACGUCCUCCUCCACAGGCUGCAGCUCUCAGGUGGCCCUGGGCAGCGGGGCUGGCUGCUUCUUCUCUUCCUUUGCCCUAGCGGGGGACCAGGCCUGCCCUCGUCACCCUCCAUUCAGGGUGUCUCCAAUUGUGCUGCACAAGUUAAAACUGGAAACUUUCCUAAAGAUGGCUUAAAAUUGGAAGGUAGGCACCAUGGAAGAGUGAAAAAGCAAUUUUUUUUUGUUUUAUGAGUUUAUUAAAGAUGAUAAGAGGGGCUGGGGAUGUGGCUCAAGCGGUAGCGUGCUCGCCUGGCGUGCGUGCAGCCCGGGUUCGAUCCUCAGCACCACAUACAAACGAAGAUGUUGUGUCUGCCGAGAACU
rnacentral:lncRNA from 1 species